UACGUAGGGUGCGAGCGUUGUCCGGAAUUAUUGGGCGUAAAGAGCUCGUAGGCGGUGUGUCGCGUCGGCCGUGAAAACCUGGGGCUCAACUCUGGGCGUGCGGUCGAUACGGGCAUCACUAGAGUUCGGCAGGGGAGACUGGAAUUCCUGGUGUAGCGGUGAAAUGCGCAGAUAUCAGGAGGAACACCGGUGGCGAAGGCGGUGGUCUGGGCCGGCACUGACGCUGAGGAGCGAAAGCGUGGGUAGCAAACAGG
rnacentral:rRNA from 1 species